AGCCAUGAAUUCCAGCAGCGCCCUCGCCGCUCCCAUUCGUCAGCCUGUACAGACUCGUGCACUUGUCAGCACUAUAGCCUACUGUGUACUUUGGAACCACAGCUAACUUCCCGAUGGAGGCUCCCAGAUUAUUACUUAACUUUACUUUUCACUGCAAGAACUGUGUCGCAUUUUAAAGUAGAAGAAAAGAACGCUUAUAUGAAUCUGAGUUUAUAUUCUGAGGGGCAUCGUGGUGAAAAUGAAGCUUCACUUUCAUUGGCUUGCAUGGACUUUUGUUUUUGCUCGACAACGGUGUGUCUGGUGUUGAUUCAGAUGGAGUGUCAGUGAAUGAGGGAGAUUCAGUCACUCUGAACACUGGUGUUCAGACAAACCAACAAGAAGAGAUUAAAUGGUAUUUCAAUAGCACUCGCAUCGCUCAGAUCAGUGGAGAUCUCAGUUAUAGUUGUACAGAUGUUCAGUGUAAUGAAGGAACUGAGAGAUUCAGAGGCAGACUGAAGCUGGAUCAUCAGACUGGAUCUCUGACCAUCAUGAACAUCACAAACACAGACUCUGGAGUUUAUGACCUGAAGAUCAUCAUCAGCAGCAGCAGCAGUGACAAGGCCUUCAAUGUUACUGUCAUUGGCGUUUCUGCUGCUGAACGAGAAGAAGUAAAUAAAAAUCAGGGAGAAGAUGUCAUUUUAGGUGUUGGUGAAAUAAGAAAACCAAAUGAUUCAGUGAUGUGGUAUUUUAAUGAGAUUCUCAUCACUGAAAUCACUGGAGAUCAGAGUAAGAUCUGUACAGAUGAUUCAGUGUGAUGAGAGAUUCAGAAGACAGACUGAAGCUGGAUCAUCAGACUGGAUCUCUGACCAUCAUGAAACACCAGAAACACAGACUCUGGAGAAUAUAAACUGCUGAUCAACAGCAAAAGCAGCAGCUUCAACAUCAACAGAGUGAAGAGAUUCAAUGUUUCUUUCACUGGUUCAGGCCUGUCUUCAGGUGCUGUAGCAGGAAUAGUUGUGGUUCUGCUAUUGGUUGCAGUUGUAACUGCUGGUGUGAUUUACUAUCGCCGCAAGAAUGAGAAUAAUACUAAUCACUCGACGUCUGAUCCAAAAGAUGUUCCUUUGAGAGACACAGGAACGACCUUAAAUCAGACUCGGGUGAUGUAGCAUCUCAUAAUGAAAGAACUGCACAAUGUAAAAUUAUUAUAAUGUAAUAAAUAUUAAAUUAUUAUUGUAAUAAAAUGUUAAUUUUCUCAAAACGUAAUGAAAUCUUGAGCUCAUAAUAUAAUAAUUUUUACAUUGAGAAAUUUAUUACAUUAUAAACUCAUAUUUUCAUAAUUGUAAUAGCUUUUAAAACAAACAGUAUUCCCUUACAGUACAUUUUUACAAAUCUAACUCCAGUCUUAAACUACCUGUGUAAUGCAACACACACACACACACACACACACACACAAAUGCACGCACACAUUGUUGGUAUUUAACACUGUUUGUCAUUUAACAGUAUGUAUGCCAUAUGUAUAGAAGUAGAAGUAGUAGUUAUAAUAAUAUUAAUAAUAAUAAUAAUAGUAGUAGUAGUAGUAGUAUCAAUAAUCUGGUGUAUUUUGUAGGCAGGUUAAGAUUGGAUUUACUUUUUUAAAAUUUACUGUAAAAGGAAUAUGAGUGCUUUAUGUUUAAUAAAAAAAAAUAUGAGAAUAAUAAUAAUUGCAUGAAUAUUUAAUUGUUGAAUUUUGCAGGUAGUUUAAGACUGGAGUUAGAUUUGUAAAAAUGUACUGUAAGGGAAUACUAUUGUUGUUUUGGUUUUAAAAGCCAUUACAAUUAUGAAAAAUUACAUGUUUUUGCUGAGUUCAUAAUGUAAUAAAUUUCUCAAUGUAAAAAUUAUUACAUUUUGAGCUCAAGAUUUUAUUACGUUUUGAUAUUUUUCAGUAUAUAGAGGUUUAUAGAGAGCUGCUACAGUGAUCCAGACAUCAUCUCUGUUUCUUGGCUUUUGCACUUUAAGACAUAAUAAUGCUAAUCUGUUUUCACAUAUCAGUUAUUGUGUCCUGCUUGUUCAUAUCUUCUUAUAACUGAUAGCUACUAAGACCAAGAUUUUGGUUUAAAGCACAAUGUCUGCACUACUGAUGCUGUAGCUGUUUUUACUGGAAUUGUAACUACUGGCAUUAUAUCUCUAAUGUGUAUGUGAUUAGACGCUUUAUUAGAAAACACAGGCACCAAACCCAGCCUUAAUAAGUUUGGAAAUUUGUUGUUUAAAUUUGAACGUUGGUGAAACACUGCACUGAGAGUAUUUAUUCUGUUUAGCGCCUGCAGGAUGAAUAAAUUAUACAGGCUGUGUUAAAUGAUGAUACAUUGGUGUGAUGUAUGGAAGCUUGUUAUAAAGUCGGAAUUGAGAGACAAACUUACAAUUGCGUGAUAUAAAGUUGCAAUUGUGAGAAAAAGUUUGAGAUAAUGUCGCAAUUACCUCUUAUUUUUUAUUCUGUGCAUUGUGGAAAGCUUUCAUAGUGAUGUGAUGUUUGUCAGGAGGAAAUAUUACAGUGCAAUGCCCACACAUCUGUAGAAAACAAAGCAUUUUUUAAUUAAAGUAAGUCUUCAUACAUUUGUAAGAUACACCUUUAUCUUCAUUGUUGAAAUGUGCAAAAAAUGACAUGCAAUGAAAUUGGAACA